GGUUUCCGAGUCGUUUUCUCCUCGAAAACGGGUUGACGGAAACGUAGAGCAAUGCUCUACGUCGCCGUCAACCCGUUUUUGAGGAGAAAACGCCUCGAAAAUC
rnacentral:pre_miRNA from 1 species